rnacentral:lncRNA from 1 species
CUGCGGGAGAGGAAGGCGUGAGCGGCGCGCGGAGCCCGGGCGCUGGGGCGGGAGGGGCGUCCCCGGGGGCCUCAGCUGUCCCCGAGCCCGGCGGCUCUCGCCUCCCCUCCCGCGGCGCACCCCAGGCUCGGCGUCCGCUGGGGCCUCCUCCCAGGACCCGGGUUCGCGGGGCAGAGGCGGAAGCAGCAACAGCGAAGCCCCAGCCCGGCCCCGCCACGUCCCCCCGCCGGGGGUCCCGGGACAGCGGCCUCCUCGGCGCAGGAAGGUCCCGCCCCAGGCCCUGCAGCGCGGGAGGUCAAGGUCCCCAAGGGGACCUGCUUCCUCCAUCUCAAACCGCCCUGGCGUCCCCCGGGUGCCUCCCAGGCCCCCAGAGGGAGCUCAGAAAGCCCAGACCCCACGGCCCGCCCCUCUCCCUGCUCUGAGCUGGAGGCAGAGUCCGGGUCUGCGGGGCCGGCCCUCCCUGUAUCCCUGUGAGAGGGUCGGGGACCCGGGGCGUCUGUCUGGCUUCCCCCAGCCCUGCUCUCAGCUCCCUGGGAGCGCAGGAUUUGGACUCGCGGACUAGCUUUCGGAGCCACCUAAAGGAAAUCUCAGGCGGCCCUAGUGCCCUCAGCUCCGUGGGAGCAGCAGAGACGCCAGAGUAUCUCUGUCCGGGCUCCUGAGGGAGGUGCGGCCAGCAGGGCGCUAGAGGAGGAAGAGGGGCUGCUGGAGAGAGAGAGCGCGCCAGGUUCAGGUCCAGGGAGGAGAGAGAGCGAGCGCGCGAGGCGGAGACCUGGAGGGAGAGGAGCUGCGGAGAGGGGUUAGGCGGGGAGGGAGAGAGAGAACCAGGUUCAGGUCCAGGGAGGAGAGAGACAGCGCGCGCGAGGCGGAGACCUGGAGGGAGAGGAGCUGCGGAGAGGGGUUAGGCGGGGAGGGAGAGAGAGAACCAGGUUCAGGUCCAGGGAGGAGAGAGACAGCGCGCGCGAGGCGGAGACCUGGAGGAGAGGAGCUGCGGAGAGGGGUUAGGCGGGGAGAGAGAGAGAGCGAGCCAGGUUCAGGUCCAGGGAGGAGAGAGACAGCGCGCGCGAGGCGGAGACCUGGAGGGAGAGGAGCUGCGGAGAGGGGUUAGGCGGGGAGAGAGAGAGCGAGCCAGGUUCAGGUCCAGGGAGGAGAGAGACAGCGCGCGCGAGGCGGAGACCUGGAGGGAGAGGAGCUGCGGAGAGGGGUUAGGCGGGGAGGGAGAGAGACAGCGCGCGCGAGGCGGAGACCUGGAGGGAGAGGAGCUGCGGAGAGGGGUUAGGCGGCGGGAGGCCCGGGAGCGUUA